AGCUCCAAUAGCGUACAUUAAAGUUGUUGCAGUUAAAAGCUCGUAGUUGGAUUUCUGGUGUCGUGUUGUAUCCGUACGAUUAAGUUCGUCUCGAGUUACAUUCACGUCGCCAUCUUUUAACAGAGCUUGCCUGGCAUUAGGUUGUUGGGCAAGUUAUGUUAAUCGUUUACUGUGAAGAAAUUAGAGUGUUCAAAGCAGGCUUAUGCCGUUGAAUACGUUAGCAUGGAAUAAUGAGAUAGGACCUUGAUACUAUUUUGUUGGUUUGCGCAUUAAGGUAAUGAUUAAUAGGGUCAGUUGGGGGUAUUCGUAUUUCGUUGUCAGAGGUGAAAUUCUUGGAUUUACGAAAGACGAACGACUGCGAAAGCAUUUACCAAGGAUGUUUUCAUUAAUCAAGAACG
rnacentral:rRNA from 1 species